UACAGAGGUCUCAAGCGUUGUUCGGAUUCAUUGGGCGUAAAGGGCGCGUAGGCGGCGGAGAAAGUCAACGGUGAAAGCUCGGGGCUCAACCCCGAGUCGGCCGUCGAUACUUCUCUGCUUGAGCACUGUAGAGGCAGGUGGAAUUCCGGGUGUAGCGGUGGAAUGCGCAGAUAUCAGGAGGAGCACCGAUGGCGAAGGCAGUUCUCUGGGACGGUACUGACGCUGAGACGCGAAAGCGUGGGGAGCGAACAGG
rnacentral:rRNA from 1 species